GCUUAGAAGCAGCCAUCAUUUAAAGAAAGCGUAACAGCUCACUGGUCUAAAUAAGGGGUCCCGCGCCGAAAAUGUACCGGGGCUCAAGCCAUACACCGAAACUGCGGGUGCAUCUUAUGAUGCGCGGUAGCGGAGCGUUCUGUAAGUCUGCGAAGGGAUACCUGUGAGGGGUCCUGGAGAUAUCAGAAGUGCGAAUGCUGACAUGAGUAACGAUAAAGCGG
rnacentral:rRNA from 1 species